AGAGACUCCUUGCUUGCUCAUCUUGGUGAGACUCAAAUGUGGGGCACACUUCUGGACUGUACAUAGAAAGUGCUACUACUUUUGAGUCUCUCCUGUGGGCACCAUUCACAGGUCGGCUG
rnacentral:precursor_RNA from 7 species